GGACGCAGAAAUCGACCUCCCCCGCGCGACUUGCCUGUAGCUUUCAGUUUCGUGGCCCAACGCCCUGCACGCCUCUCCUCUCGGAUAAUUGGUGGUUGAAUCUGUGCAAGUUGGAAGCAAAUGAGAGCCCAGCGGCUGUUCUUUCCCAUUCCUUUUAGAUUGAGGCAAAGGGACAAAUCUGCGAUGUGAAUUAUACAGCUCCAGGAAUUUUUAUCAGCGCACCCCCCACCCGGUCCUGCCUGAGGGUCUUUCUGAGCCACAGACGUCCCUUCCCAGGUCUUGUCCCCCCCCUUCUGCGAAUGCCCUCGGAUCACCCAGCAGGCAGGUGUGAUCCGGCUCCGCGCUGGGGCCAGGUGCUCACAUGCCCAGGCGAAGUAAGCUGGUGAGUUAUGUGGCACAGCACCAUCGAUCGAUCUACAAAGGAAGCUUCAGUGCAGCCGUGUUGCUACACGGACCUGUCUCACCCAGGCGUCAUGAACGGAAGGGCUGGGAGAGACCUCAUGGAGGAGGAAGAGCUUUGCUCAGCUGCUUGGGUGUGGGACUGAAUGUGGUUCCAGAACUGGUCGCUGCCUUCACCCGCUGACUCUGGUCUCGGCGAUGACAGGAGAAGAAGAGGAUGGAGAAAAAACUGGAGCAUCUCGUGACAUGGAAAGAAAGGUCUGAACUCUGACGAUCCCCUCACGUGAUUAUAUGCAUGAGGACUCACUCUUCCAAUUGUUUGAAAAUUGAAUGGACUGGCUCACACCUUCUGAAAUUUCUUGGUAACCCUGGAGUAGCCAUUCCAUUAAAGAAUAGCGUGUUUUUGGCUGAAA